AAUAGAUACCCCGGUAGUCCACGCCGUAAACGAUGUCGACUUGGAGGUUGUUCCCUUGAGGAGUGGGCUUCCGGGAGCUAACGCGUUAAGUCGACCGCCUGGGGAGUACGGCCGCAAGGUUAAAACUCAAAUGAAUUGACGGGGGGCCCGCACAAGCGGUGGAGCAUGUGGUUUAAUUCGAUGCAACGCGAAGAACCUUACCUACUCUUGACAUCCAGAGAACUUAGCAGAGAUGCUUUGGUGCCUUCGGGAACUCUGAGACAGGUGCUGCAUGGCUGUCGUCAGCUCGUGUUGUGAAAUGUUGGGUUAAGUCCCGCAACGAGCGCAACCCUUAUCCUUUGUUGCCAGCGGUUCGGCCGGGAACUCAAAGGAGACUGCCAGUGAUAAACUGGAGGAAGGUGGGGAUGACGUCAAGUCAUCAUGGCCCUUACGAGUAGGGCUACACACGUGCUACAAUGGCGUAUACAAAGAGAAGCGACCUCGCGAGAGCAAGCGGACCUCAUAAAGUACGUCGUAGUCCGGAUUGGAGU
rnacentral:rRNA from 1 species